CAUUACCUACGUAACUGUACAAAGCUAUACAGAUGCAAGAUUAGGGACUUGAUAGUAAACAGAGGCUAGUGAAAAAUCUCUGUAAGAGCAAGGUAAGUAGAAGAAUUGGGAGCCGAAGUUACAUUGAAUCCUUAGAUCACAUGUGGAAGUUACAUACAUUGAGGGGAAUAGGGAAGGAAUAAAAUAGAGACAGUGAAGAAAACUUUGGGACCUCUUUUAACAUAUAAAGAAUUCACUCAGUUAAGGUACGCCAUCCCAUUUCCUAAACUUAAGGUCCAAAGGGGAUCUUCGAGGCUGCCAGAAAGGUCCUUGGUAUCCUGGAGGACGUGCCCGCAGUGUUCUUUCCAACUUGGUAGAGACCAACUUUCAGCUUGCUUGGGAUGAAAGGAGUUCGAAGGAAGGAUGAAGGACAACAGAGCGAAAAAAUAAAAAUUAAGAAAUAAAAUUACGAAUCAGAGGCGCCCCAGUAUAGCGGAUGGAAAACAGGCUGCUUAGCUCCUGACACUUCCGCUGAUAUCUUUCUACUUUGCAUCAAGAGAAAUGAAGAUCAGAAAAUUACAACAACAACAAAAAACCCCCCAGCAUACUCAAUGCAAGGUUCGAAUGCAAUUAUAAGGAGAGGACAGAACUGACCGUUGGAAUGAAUUUGAGCUCCAGGGACGGGAGAAGACUGGCAGAGACAAGCUGAAAUAUGAGCCAAAUCUAUUCUGCGAGAUGCACAGGGGGGCGGGGGAGGGGGAUGUGGAAGGUUGCGAGUGGUGGUGCAGACUGUAAAAAGACCUCUGCCCUCAAGAAAACUUUCUUUUUUUCCCUCUUAUACUCCAUCCUCACACUUUUCUUUGCAUCUUCCUGUUCUUGUGUAUAUGUAUUUCUGCCACUUUCGAUUGAGGAGGGGUGAUUUAGUCCAGAGGACUGCUUCAGAAUACAUUUUAUUGAAGUUCAAAAUCUAUGUCUAUAUCUGCCCAACCACAAUGAAGAUCUUUAGAUCGCUUUAGGGAACUCUUCUAGGAAACUCAGGCCAAAAGAAAUCCUAUUCUACCCUCAACAAGACAUGUUAUUUGUUUUCUCCAAAAUUAUCCGGCUAAUUUUCAGCUCUCACUUAACUUUGCCCGAAAGCACAAGGUUAGACAAACAUGACUAUUAAAAAAUAACAAAUUAUUUUAAUCAUUUUUUUAAAGACAAGACCAGUGUCCACUGCUGAAAUUCCUGCAUUUUCAACUAGAUGAAAGCCUAUUAGUCCAUAGACUUGCUGAUAAGAAAUAAGAAGGUCAGCUCUUUUAGUCCACCUUGGAAUGAUGGGUAAAGGAAAAAUUGCUGGGGCCCCGAGGAGGAAACCCAAACAAGGGCUACAGGAGACCACUGAUGUUCUCAUAUCCCUAACCUGAUUUCCCAGCAUCUCCAAGAGGGAAAGCUAGUACCGUGAAGCAGACAAAUAAAGAGGAUAUUUGGAAGGGGCGGGGGGAGCGGCGGGAGUUUUAAAAGGAAUCCUCGGAUUUAGGUAUCAGUCUGUAAAAUAUGUUUGUGACUCCAGAGUGCCAAGGCAAUAUCUGGCAGUCCAGGGAGCAUUGCUUCACUUUUGAUGUGGCUGAUAACUAUCUUCAUAAGAUUUCUCUCUCUCUCUCUCUCUCUCUCUCUCUCUCUCUCUCUCUCUCUCUCUCUCUCUCUCUCUGUGUGUGUGUGCUGGUUCAUCUGCAUAGAGCUGGACAAGUGGUGUUGGUGCCCCCCUCCCCGCCACGAAUUUCUAGUAGAAAACAUCUGCACUGAUAGCCAUCCACAGACGCACCUCUGGAGUCGUGCAAUUAAUUAUACAUCUGCACAAGAGCGCCUGUACACAAACAGGCAGCUUUUCACACUGAUCCUCCUGGAGCAGGAUGCACCCUCGUGUGUCUCCCUCCCUUCCACAAAAAGGAACCGAACAAACCCCAAA